AAAGUUCUGAAGAAGAGCCUCCCCCUCUUGCAUCCUCCUGUGGGGAAGAGUGUGGCUGCUGUCCGUCUCCCGGUGACCAGAGGAGGAAGAACCACCUAUUCUCAGAGCUACAACACAGGCUCACCGGCGACACUCACGAUUCUAAAGGUGGCUUCCUGGCCUGGGUGAACCCAACUUGGAAACAGAUGAAGAAACAGGUCCAUAAGAACAAGAUCGGGGCGCCUGGGUGGCGCAGUCGGUU